AUUGAACAUAAGAGUUUGAUCCUGGCUCAGAUUGAACGCUGGCGGCAUGCUUUACACAUGCAAGUCGGACGGCAGCACAGGGAAGCUUGCUUCUCGGGUGGCGAGUGGCGAACGGGUGAGUAACAUAUCGGAACGUACCGGGUAGCGGGGGAUAACUGAUCGAAAGAUCAGCUAAUACCGCAUACGUCUUGAGAGGGAAAGCAGGGGGACCUUCGGCCUUGCGCUAUCCGAGCUACCGAUAUCUGAUUAGCUGGUUGGCGGGGUAAAGCCCCACCAAGGCGACGAUCAGUAGCGGGUCUGAGAGGAUGAUCCGCCACACUGGGACUGAGACACUACCCCAGACUCCUACGGGAGGCAGCAGUGGGGAAUUUUGGACAAUGGGCGCAAGCCUGAUCCAGCCAUGCCGCGUGUCUGAAGAAGCCACUUCGGGUUGUAAAGGACUUUUGUCAGGGAAGAAAAGUAGAUUGCCAAUAUCGGCGGUAGAUGACGAUGCCUGAAGAAUAAGCACCGGCUAACUACGUGCCAGCAGCCGCGGUAAUACGUAGGGUGCGAGCGUUAAUCGGAAUUACUGGGCGUAAAGCGGGCGCAGACGGUUACUUAAGCAGGAUGUGAAAUCCCCGGGCUCAACCCGGGAACUGCGUUCUGAACUGGGUGACUCGAGUGUGUCAGAGGGAGGUGGAAUUCCACGUGUAGCAGUGAAAUGCGUAGAGAUGUGGAGGAAUACCGAUGGCGAAGGCAGCCUCCUGGGAUAACACUGACGUUCAUGUCCGAAAGCGUGGGUAGCAAACAGGAUUAGAUACCCUGGUAGUCCACGCCCUAAACGAUGUCAAUUAGCUGUUGGGCAACUUGAUUGCUUGGUAGCGUAGCUAACGCGUGAAAUUGACCGCCUGGGGAGUACGGUCGCAAGAUUAAAACUCAAAGGAAUUGACGGGGACCCGCACAAGCGGUGGAUGAUGUGGAUUAAUUCGAUGCAACGCGAAGAACCUUACCUGGUUUUGACAUGUGCGGAAUCCUCCGGAGACGGAGGAGUGCCUUCGGGAGCCGUAACACAGGUGCUGCAUGGCUGUCGUCAGCUCGUGUCGUGAGAUGUUGGGUUAAGUCCCGCAACGAGCGCAACCCUUGUCAUUAGUUGCCAUCAUUCGGUUGGGCACUCUAAUGAGACUGCCGGUGACAAGCCGGAGGAAGGUGGGGAUGACGUCAAGUCCUCAUGGCCCUUAUGACCAGGGCUUCACACGUCAUACAAUGGUCGGUACAGAGGGUAGCCAAGCCGCGAGGCGGAGCCAAUCUCACAAAACCGAUCGUAGUCCGGAUUGCACUCUGCAACUCGAGUGCAUGAAGUCGGAAUCGCUAGUAAUCGCAGGUCAGCAUACUGCGGUGAAUACGUUCCCGGGUCUUGUACACACCGCCCGUCACACCAUGGGAGUGGGGGAUACCAGAAGUAGGUAGGGUAACCGCAAGGAGUCCGCUUACCACGGUAUGCUUCAUGACUGGGGUGAAGUCGUAACAAGGUAGCCGUAGGGGAACCUGCGGCUGGAUCACCUCCUUUCUAG
rnacentral:rRNA from 1 species